GAUUCUGCCCUACGGGGAAGGAUGAGAAGCUUCGACUAAGGUUCGACUCGAGCGCCAGCGAGAGAACGUUGCCAAGGGCAACGGUCCGAAGGGCGAGGAGCGAUAGCGACGAGUUAUCCUUCCCCCACCACCA
rnacentral:sRNA from 1 species